UUUUAAACACUCGGAGCGUCUAGCACAUGCAAGUCAUCAUGAUCAUAUGUACAAGGCCAUAGCUGCUGGACAGUUUUAAGGGUCCUAGAUCUAUCGUACUACUAGCUUCCUUCAUGCCAUUAACCAAUUGCAUAUCAGAAUUCUUUCGAAUGAAUUGCAAUAGUCUACAUCUCGUUCUUUAACCUUGUACGAGUUCCGAUAAAUACCAGAGUAAAUGUGCAGGGACCUGUUUAUGUAAAUAAGACGAACAUUAUAUAUUGAAUUUUUAACAGCGAUAGAACGGUGCGUAAAAUAUUGUCGGUUUACAGUUCAUCGUCUGUAUUGGGACCAACAGGGCACGGCAUAUGCAGUCACCAUCUGCAUUAAGCAACCACAGACAAACUGUUUGACAACACAAUGAAAAUCAAGAAAUAUUAUCACCAGGCACAUUAUCAAAUUUACCAACCCUUAUAUGAUAUCAAGAUGGUAAACAACAGACUGUUUCGGCAUCCAAGGAAUAUCACAAUUUUCGCGGCCUUAACAGUUCUAUCCCACCAUUCUAGUCUUCUAGAGGGUCAAGGUUAAGCCAAUGUUUUACGCAUGCCAGCUUGGCUCAGAGCUUUAGGGAUUCGAUAUGACAUCACCAUGUUUUAUCUAGUGUGUCCUCCAAACACUCCUAUAAUGUUUUUGACAUGUUACAAGGCAAGGAUAGGGUCGGUCUAAGCUAAAGUCCAGACUGAUCCUCAAAAAUCAAUAUUAUUUUAACAUGUUAUGAUUUUUAGUUAAAAAUUAGUAAAUAUUUGAUUUUCAACUCCGUCAACCUCCAAAAUUUAGACAUCUACUGCUUUAGCCCUGACUAUCAAGGAAUCCUGGUUCCGAACUCACAAAUAUCUAUCAGCAAUUACACGUAAAAAAUGGGAACAACAGGAGUAAAAAAGAUAAGGAAUAGACAUAGACCAAAUGGCAAGCAAGCUUUUCCCUGGGGCCAAUAUACUGAAAUACAUGUGCAAAAAGCCAGUAUAUAUCUUUUCAUUUCUCAAAUCCAUCUCUUUCCAUCUACUCAUCAACUUUACAGUUCCUUGGCCACUUUGUUAUUCGAAGGUGUGCAUAGUCCAGCUCUAAAGUUCUGUAAAUUCUUCACUCCUAAUAUAAUUAUAUAAGUAACAUGUGGGUGUCUUAGUUUAUAAGUGAUGAUCACAGUAAAAAAAUUGGCAAGUGAAGCUUAAGUUCUUCUUCUGAGUAAAGUAUAAGUUCUUUCACUUUUCGACUAACAUGAUAUUCUUUUUUAGGGGGAAUCAUCCUAGCUUGUUGAUAUAAUAAGCGACAUCUCAACUGGGGCUUCUACAUUGGGAUUGCGAAUCUGAUCAUGGGAAUCACCGGGGAGCUUGUUAGGAGUGUCUUCUCCAAGAGCAAGUCCAUCAGAGGUCAUGAAGCCAAUGUGAGUCAAUUUCACUAAUUUUUCUUGCUUGCUAACAACUCUCUUAGAUUAUGUAUUACCAUAUAACUCGUGAGACUAUUGUAUACAUGGUGAAAUCAUGAUCCCUUUGCUCAAUCGACACAAUCCUUUUUUUGAUGAAGCAGGUCAGAAGUAAUCAAGAACGGAAAAGAUGGAAAAGUUCAGUGAGAUCCUACCUGUGUGGGGAUGAAUUUAACUCUGUUCUCGCGGAGGAGGAUUCAGCUUCUCUGAGGAGCUCCAAAGUCACUGUAUCAACUGAACCUGAAUUUAGUUCGACCAAUGUAGAUGAUCCUGCUUCUUCCGUUU
rnacentral:lncRNA from 1 species